GCGGGGGAUAACUAUUGGAAACGAUAGCUAAUACCGCAUAACAGCAUUUAACCCAUGUUAGAUGCUUGAAAGGAGCAAUUGCUUCACUAGUAGAUGGACCUGCGUUGUAUUAGCUAGUUGGUGAGGUAACGGCUCACCAAGGCGACGAUACAUAGCCGACCUGAGAGGGUGAUCGGCCACACUGGGACUGAGACACGGCCCAGACUCCUACGGGAGGCAGCAGUAGGGAAUCUUCGGCAAUGGGGGCAACCCUGACCGAGCAACGCCGCGUGAGUGAAGAAGGUUUUCGGAUCGUAAAGCUCUGUUGUAAGAGAAGAACGUGUGUGAGAGUGGAAAGUUCACACAGUGACGGUAACUUACCAGAAAGGGACGGCUAACUACGUGCCAGCAGCCGCGGUAAUACGUAGGUCCCGAGCGUUGUCCGGAUUUAUUGGGCGUAAAGCGAGCGCAGGCGGUUUAAUAAGUCUGAAGUUAAAGGCAGUGGCUUAACCAUUGUUCGCUUUGGAAACUGUUAGACUUGAGUGCAGAAGGGGAGAGUGGAAUUCCAUGUGUAGCGGUGAAAUGCGUAGAUAUAUGGAGGAACACCGGUGGCGAAAGCGGCUCUCUGGUCUGUAACUGACGCUG
rnacentral:rRNA from 1 species